GGAUGGAGAGGACCGAUUGUUUAUUUAUCCUGGGACUGUUGACUGAUCCGAAGCUGAUAUUGUUGUGGAGCAUCACAGUCAGAGAUUGCUCCUGUGGAGACAGAAGUCAAGCUCCAGUUUCAGUGUGAGCAACAUGUACAGGUGUUUCAGCGGCUUUGUG